UACGAAGGGGGCUAGCGUUGUUCGGAAUUACUGGGCGUAAAGCGCACGUAGGCGGACAUUUAAGUCAGGGGUGAAAUCCCAGAGCUCAACUCUGGAACUGCCUUUGAUACUGGGUGUCUUGAGUAUGGAAGAGGUGAGUGGAAUUCCUAGUGUAGAGGUGAAAUUCGUAGAUAUUAGGAAGAACACCGGUGGCGAAGGCGGCAUCCUGGACCGGUAUUGACGCUGAGGCGCGAAAGCCAGGGGAGCAAACGGG
rnacentral:rRNA from 1 species